rnacentral:rRNA from 1 species
UACGUAGGGUGCGAGCGUUGUCCGGAAUUAUUGGGCGUAAAGAGCUCGUAGGCGGUCUGUCGCGUCGGUCGUGAAAACUUGGGGCUUAACCCUGAGAUUGCGGUCGAUACGGGCAUGACUGGAGUUCGGCAGGGGAGACUGGAAUUCCUGGUGUAGCGGUGAAAUGCGCAGAUAUCAGGAGGAACACCGGUGGCGAAGGCGGGUCUCUGGGCCGAUACUGACGCUGAGGAGCGAAAGCGUGGGGAGCAAACAGG